AUGGGCGCCGUCGCUAGCCUCCUGCUAGCCGGCCUACUCUCCGCGCUCGCGUACGUGCUCCGCGCCCUCGUGUGGGUCCCGCACCGCCUGGAGCGCCGCCUGCGCCGGCAGGGCAUCCGGGGGCCUCCGCGCAGCCUGAUCACCGGAAACGUGGCCGACUACGGCGCCCUCCUCGCCGCGGCCCAGUCCAAGCCGCUCGCCUCCUUCCACCACGCCAUCGUCGGCCGCGCCACGCCGCACUACCGCGAGUGGGCGGCGCGGUACGGCCGGCCGUUCGUGUUCUGGUCAGGGCCCCGGCCGCGGCUGGUGUUCUCCAGCCCGGAAGUCGCCAAGGCCGCGCUGAACGACUCCACGGGGACCUUCGAUGAGGCCGGCAACGGCGGCAGCAGAAACCCGCUCGCUCGGCAGCUCAUCGGCGAGGGGCUGGUGGGGCUCACCGGAAGAAGUGGGCGCACCACCGCCGUGUGA
rnacentral:rRNA from 1 species